UCAGCAUGGCCCUUACGGCCUGGGCGACACACGUGCUACAACGCCCACUACAAAGCGAUGCCACCCGGCAACGGGGAGCUAAUCGCAAAAAGGUGGGCCCAGUUCGGAUUGGGGUCUGCAACCCGACCCCAUGAAGCCGGAAUCGCUAGUAAUCGCGGAUCAGCCAUGCCGCGGUGAAUACGUUCCCGGGCCUU
rnacentral:rRNA from 1 species